CUGUCCAAGCAUGNCUAAAAAGCAGUUUAGUUUAGCAGAGGCCGGGUCAAGACCGGUGCCAGCCGCCGCGGUAACACCGGCGGCUCGAGUGGUGACCGCUAUUAUUGGGUCUAAAGGGUUCGUAGCCGGCUUAAUAAGUUCCUUGGGAAAUCUGGCGGCUUAACUGUCAGGCUGCCGAGGGAUACUGUUCGGCUUGAGACCGGGAGAGGCUAGAGGUACUUCAGGGGUAGGGGUGAAAUCCUGUGAUCCCCGUGAGACCACCAGUGGCGAAGGCGUCUCACUAGAACGGGUCUGACGGUGAUGAACGAAAGCUAGGGGCACGAACCGGAUUAGAUACCCGGGUAGUCCUAGCCGUAAACGAUGCUAGCUAGGUGUCACCCACGCUGCGACCUACUGUGGUGCCGUAGGGAAGCCAUGAAGCUCGCCACCUGGGAAGUACGGCCGCAAGGCUGAAACUUAAAGGAAUUGGCGGGGGAGCACUACAACGGGUGGAGCCUGCGGUUCAAUUGGACUCAACGCCGAAAAGCUCACCGGGAGCGACAGCGAAUGAAGUCAGGCUGAAGAC
rnacentral:rRNA from 1 species